rnacentral:rRNA from 1 species
AUUGAACGCUGGCGGCAGGCCUAACACAUGCAAGUCGAACGAGUGGCGGAAGGGUUAGCAAUGUAUCGGCAACUGCCUGCUGGAGGGGGAUAUCUAACGGGCACGGAUGCUACUACCGCCUACAUUCACCUGUGCCCAGAUGGGAUUAGCUAGUUGGUGGGGUAACGGCUCACCACGGCGACGAGCCCUAACUGGUCUGAGAGGAUGACCAGCCACACUGGAACUGGUACACGGUCCAGACUCCUACGGGAGGCAGCAGUGGGGAAUAUUGCACAAUGGGCGCAAGCCUGAUGCAGCCAUGCCGCGUGUGUGAAGAAGGCCUUCGGAUUGUAAAGGACUUUCAGCGGGGAGGCGUUACCCGCAGAAGAAGCACCGGCUAACUACGUGCCAGCAGCCGCGGUAAUAG